rnacentral:rRNA from 1 species
CCUACGGGCGGCAGCAGUAGGGAAUUUUCGGCCAUGGGGGGAACCCUGACCGAGCAACGCCGCGUGAACGAAGAAGUUAUUCGUAAUGUAAAGUUCUUUUAACAGGGAAGAAAGAGAAAUUUGACGGUACCUGAAGAAUAAGCUCCGGCGAACUACGUGCCAGCAGCCGCGGUAAUACGUAGGGAGCGAGCGUUAUCCGGAAUUAUUGGGCGAAAAGGGUGCGUAGAUGGCAUAGUAAGUCUGUUGUAAAAAUGCUGGGCUCAACCCAGUAGGGCAAAAGAUACUGCAAAGCUAGAGUAUGACAGAGGCAAGUGGAACUACAUGUGUAGCGGUAAAAUGCGUAAAUAUAUGUAAGAACACCAGUGGCGAAGGCGGCUUGCUGGGUCGAUACUGACAUUGAGGCACGAAAGCGUGGGGAGCAAACAGGAUUAGAUACCCCAGUAGUC